rnacentral:rRNA from 1 species
GACGAACGCUGGCGGCGUGCUUAACACAUGCAAGUCGAACGGAAAGGCCCUGCUUUUGUGGGGUGCUCGAGUGGCGAACGGGUGAGUAACACGUGAGUAACCUGCCCUUGACUUUGGGAUAACUUCAGGAAACUGGGGCUAAUACCGGAUAGGAGCUCCUGCUGCAUGGUGGGGGUUGGAAAGUUUCGGCGGUUGGGGAUGGACUCGCGGCUUAUCAGCUUGUUGGUGGGGUAGUGGCUUACCAAGGCUUUGACGGGUAGCCGGCCUGAGAGGGUGACCGGCCACAUUGAGACAGAGAUACGGCCCAGACUCCUACGGAAGGCAGCAGUGAGGAGUAUUGCACAAUGGACGGAAGCCUGAUGCAGCAACGCCGCGUGCGGGAUGACGGCCUUCGGGUUGUAAACCGCAUUCGCCUGUGACGAAGCGUGUGUGACGGUAAUGGGUAAAGAAGCACCGGCUAACUACGUG